rnacentral:rRNA from 1 species
GUGGCGUAAGGGUGCGGAAUGGAUAGGUAACGUACCCCAAACUUCGGGAUAGCGUCUGAUUGCUUCGGCAAUCUUCCGAAAGGGGCGGUAAUACCGGAUAAUAUCAUAUCUCAUAAGGGAGAUGAUCAAAGAUUUAUCGGUUUGGGAGCGGCCUAUUUCCUAUCAGCUUGUUGGUGAGGUAACGGCUCACCAAGGCAGCGACGGGUAGCGGGACUGAGAGGUUGACCCGCCACAUCGGGACUGAGACACUGCCCGGACCUCCACGGAGGGCUGCAGUAACGAAUAUUGCGCAAUGGGCGAAAGCCUGACGCAGCGACGCCGCGUGUAGGAAGAAGCUUUUCGGAGUGUAAACUACUGUCAGGGGUCAGAAAGUAUGCUUCGGCAUAUUGAUCAGCCCCAGAGGAAGUCACGGCUAACUUCGUGCCAGCAGCCGCGGUAAUACGAAGGUGGCGAGCGUUGUUCGGAAUCACUGGGCUUAAAGCGCGCGUAGGCGGAGUGGAUAGUGUCUUGUGAAAGUCCUCGGCUUAACCGGGGAAUUGCUUGGCAAACUUCCAUUCUUGAGGCAAGUAGGGGUACAUGGAACUCUUGGUGGAGCGGUGGAAUGCGUAGAUAUCAAGAGGAACGCCAAUGGUGAAGACAGUGUACUGGGCUUGUCCUGACGCUGAGGUGCGAAAGCGUGGGGAGCGAACGGGAUUAGAUACCCCGGUAGUCCACGCCGUAAACGAUGUCUACUA